rnacentral:lncRNA from 10 species
GCGGCUGCGGGACAAGCAGAGGCGCGCGGGCGUGGGCAAGGGUUUGGGGCGCUCUGGAGCGGUUUGUUGGGUCAGUGAGGUGCCAGGGAGAGCGGGUGCCUGCCGGGCAGUGUGCUCGGGUUGCACGCCCUAGCGCGGGGGCGACAGCGGCGGCGCGGGCGGGCGGUCUGGAAUAAUGACAAACACAUUUGGCCCUGAGUGAAGAAGUCGUCGUCGCCUCGCAUUCCAGCAACUGGGAUUUGAGGAAUUUCGAACCGCACACCAAGGGGCCCUCAUUGUGCUCCGUGGCCCCCGCCCCCGCCUGUCUUCCCGCGCCCCCUCCUCGGUGGAAUCAUUUCUGCAUUGCCCGGGGGCUCUGCUUUCGCUCAGUUCUGGCCGCAGGCAGGAAGAGAGGAAAGGUCUCCAGGAAGGUGCCGAACUUCUUGUGAGGAAGUUAGGGACGACUUGGAACUGGGGAAACUUGUUUGCAGAGACGGGGUUUUGCCAUGCUGCCUAGACUGGUCUUGAACUCCUGGGCUCAAAUGAUCUGCCUGCCUCAGCUUCCCAAGUUUCCCAGAGCUAUGGGGACUUCCCAUCCGGCGUUCCUGGUCUUAGGCUGUCUUCUCACAGGGCUGAGCCUAAUCCUCUGCCAGCUUUCAUUACCCUCUAUCCUUCCAAAUGAAAAUGAAAAGGUUGUGCAGCUGAAUUCAUCCUUUUCUCUGAGAUGCUUUGGGGAGAGUGAAGUGAGCUGGCAGUACCCCAUGUCUGAAGAAGAGAGCUCCGAUGUGGAAAUCAG